rnacentral:rRNA from 1 species
GACCAAAAGAUUAAGUUAUGUAAAUAGGUAAAAAGAUAGUUAGGUAGAAAAAGAAGUUUGAUGAUUUUUUGUAAAAAGGUAAAAUUUGAAUAUAAAAGGUUAAUUUUUCGAAGGCUUAAAUUCUGAGUCUAUGAUAGUUUUGAGGGAAACUGGGAUUAGAUACCCCAUUAUUCAUAAAUUGUAAAUAAAUGAAUUUACCAGAGUACUAUGAAUAUAUAAAAAUUUAAAACUCAAAGGGCUUGGCGGUGUUUUAGACCAAUUAGGGGAACCUGUCUCGUAAUCGACAGUCCACGAUAUACCUAACCCUUAUUUGUAGGCAGUUUGUAUACCGUCGUCGUCAGGUAACUUUUAAAAAUAAAGAAGUUAGCAGUGAUAAUAAUUAUUAAUUAAGACGUCAGAUCAAGGUGCAGCUUAUAGAAGGGAGAGGAUGGGUUACAAUUAUUAAUUAAUAAUUACGAAUGAUUUAAUGAAAAAAGUUUAAAGGCGGACUUAAAAGUAAUAUUGUUAUAUAUAAAUAAUUUGAAUUAGGCUCUGAAACGUGC